rnacentral:rRNA from 1 species
GACGAACCACACAAACGUUAUUCGGAAUUACUGGGCUUAAAGGGUGCGUAGGCGGCAUGACAAGUUGGGUGUGAAAUACCUCGGCUCAACCGGGGAAUGGCGCUCAAAACUGUCGUGCUUGAGGAAGAUAGAGGUGAGCGGAACUUAAGGUGGAGCGGUGAAAUGCGUUGAUAUCUUAAAGGAACACCUGUGGCGAAAGCGGCUCACUGGAUCUUUACUGACGCUGAGGCACGAAAGCUAGGGGAGCGAACGGGAGUUAG